AACGAACGCUGGCGGCAUGCCUUACACAUGCAAGUCGAACGGCAGCACGGGAGCAAUCCUGGUGGCGAGUGGCGAACGGGUGAGUAAAGUAUCGGAACGUGCCCAGUCGUGGGGGAUAACGUAGCGAAAGUUACGCUAAUACCGCAUACGAUCUAUGGAUGAAAGCGGGGGAUCGCAAGACCUCGCGCGAUUGGAGCGGCCGAUAUCAGAUUAGGUAGUUGGUGGGGUAAAGGCUCACCAAGCCGACGAUCUGUAGCUGGUCUGAGAGGACGACCAGCCACACUGGGACUGAGACACGGCCCAGACUCCUACGGGAGGCAGCAGUGGGGAAUUUUGGACAAUGGGCGAAAGCCUGAUCCAGCCAUGCCGCGUGCAGGAUGAAGGCCUUCGGGUUGUAAACUGCUUUUGUACGGAACGAAAAGGUUUGGCCUAAUAAGCUGAGCUCAUGACGGUACCGUAAGAAUAAGCACCGGCUAACUACGUGCCAGCCGCCGCGGUAAUAC
rnacentral:rRNA from 1 species